CAACAGGGAUUGCCUUAGUAACGGCGAGUGAAGCGGCAAAAGCUCAAAUUUGAAAUCUGGCACCUUCGGUGUCCGAGUUGUAAUUUGAAGAAGGUAACUUUGGAGUUGGCUCUUGUCUAUGUUCCUUGGAACAGGACGUCACAGAGGGUGAGAAUCCCGUGCGAUGAGAUGCCCAAUUCUAUGUAAAGUGCUUUCGAAGAGUCGAGUUGUUUGGGAAUGCAGCUCUAAGUGGGUGGUAAAUUCCAUCUAAAGCUAAAUAUUGGCGAGAGACCGAUAGCGAACAAGUACAGUGAUGGAAAGAUGAAAAGAACUUUGAAAAGAGAGUGAAAAAGUACGUGAAAUUGUUGAAAGGGAAGGGCUUGAGAUCAGACUUGGUAUUUUGCGAUCCUUUCCUUCUUGGUUGGGUUCCUCGCAGCUUACUGGGCCAGCAUCGGUUUGGAUGGUAGGAUAAUGACUAAGGAAUGUGGCUCUACUUCGGUGGAGUGUUAUAGCCUUGGUUGAUACUGCCUGUCUAGACCGAGGACUGCGUCUUU
rnacentral:rRNA from 1 species